UACGUAGGGGGCUAGCGUUGUCCGGAUUUAUUGGGCGUAAAGAGCGUGUAGGCGGCGCGGUAAGUCGGGUGUGAAAUCUCGGAGCUUAACUCCGAAACUGCAUUCGAUACUGCCGUGCUUGAGGACUGGAGAGGAGACUGGAAUUUACGGUGUAGCGGUGAAAUGCGUAGAUAUCGUAAGGAAGACCAGUGGCGAAGGCGGGUCUCUGGACAGUUCCUGACGCUGAGGCACGAAGGUCAGGGGAGCAAACGGG
rnacentral:rRNA from 1 species